rnacentral:misc_RNA from 1 species
GAUGAAGAACGUAGCGAAAUGCGAUAAGUAGUGUGAAUUGCAGAAUUCAGUGAAUCAUCGAAUCUUUGAACGCACAUUGCGCCCCUUGGUAUUCCAUGGGGCAUGCCUGUUCGAGCGUCAUUUGUACCUUCAAGCUCUGCUUGGUGUUGGGUGUUUGUCUCGCCUCUGCGUGUAGACUCGCCUCAAAACAAUUGGCAGCCGGCGUAUUGAUUUCGGAGCGCAGUACAUCUCGCGCUUUGCACUCAUAACGACGACGUCCAAAAGUUCAUUUUUACACUCUUGACCUCGGAUCAGGUAGGGAUACCCGCUGAACUUAAGCAUAUCAAUAAGCGAGGA